GGAGAACGUGAAUGGCCAUGCCGCUAGCAGUGGAGAGCUUCCUAUGGCAAUGAUUGCACUUGAAGUGUUUGGCUUUCUGGUGCUGAACCAAUAUCUUCUCAUCAUCAAAUUCCCUAUCACAGUAAUAGCACCAAACCUUAUCUGACGCUCUCUUCUUCUUCUUUCCCAUUCCCUAUUUCCAAACGAGGAUUGAAUGUUAGGGUUAGGGUUCUGAUAGCAACUCCUCAGAUUGGGGGUUUUAUUUUUUGGUUAGCGUUGCUAGAGUUCACACUGAU
rnacentral:misc_RNA from 1 species